GUUUACACACACACUAUCUGAAUUUGCAGAGCUAGCGUGCAAACAUUAACUAUUAAACUAGCUAGUAACUAUUCCAUUCAUGUGGCGUCGUCAAAGAUGGAAUCUUUGCUGUCGUCAGUUUAUUCCAGGAUCAGCAUGCAGCUGUAGUGCUACAAAGUCACUGUGAUAAGGUUAGCGAUCAAGUGAACAUAACUACACUCUCUUCUACCAUUGUCUUAAAUAUCUUUAAUGGUCUCGUUGCAAAAACUAAAUUGUCGCUUUGGGACUUUGAAGCACGUGUGCUGAUCUUGGAGUAAACUGAUAAUAGCAAAGAUUAUAGCAAACACCACAGAAACGGAAUUGGUGCUCGCUAGCAUUGCAAAUUCAGCUAUUGUUCGAAGCCAGCCAAUAUGAAACAAACUAUAUUAAAAUGACAAAAGGUUGCAGCAUAUGUUGUGUAAAUGGUGAACUCAUACAGCUGUCAACUCUUGUCACUGCAAUCCGUUUCACAUUUGCUAGCUAUCUUUUAGAUCGAAGCCCAUAUAGAAUGAUAGAAGAUAAGAUGAUAGAAGCCCAUCUCCUACUGUAAAUAACCUAUACACGGUAUGUGUGUGUGUGUUUGUGCAGCUUGCCAGGUAGAAACAUUUCAGAAAAAAGUAAAAAGUCAGACAUCAGAGUAUUUUUCAGUACACCAAAACGCAAAGCAAGAACCCUAGUAGCCUAAGACUAGUUGAUAAAAUGUUCAUUAGAAAGAAGUGAAAUGUUAAUGGAAAAGUUUCACAAGAAUGGCAUUAGGCACAUCAGGCAACAGAGGGCACACAGACAGCAGAGCUGGGGACAGAUGGGCAGGGACAGACAGGCAGAGACAGGGAGUCUCAGGAGACAAACUGUGAGGCAGUGAGGGUGGUGAAAGGGAAAGAGCCAAGGAGAGAGACUUCAGAGGACAGUGUCACAGCCACGGCAGGACCAGGUGUCAACCUUGUUGCCAGCUGCACCAGUAUAGGGGACAGUGUCACAGCCACGGCAGGCCCAG
ensembl:lncRNA